GGUCAGGACGAACGCUGGCGGCGUGCCUAAUACAUGCAAGUCGAACGGUCUUUCUAUGGAAGCUUGCUUCCACUGAGAAGAUAGUGGGCGAACGGGUGAGUAACACGUGGGUAACCUGCCCAUAAGAGGGGGAUAACAUCCGGAAACGGGUGCUAAUACCGCAUAGUUUUCUUGGUCGCAUGAUCGGGAAAGGAAAGACGGCCUUUGUGCUGUCGCUUAUGGAUGGACCCGCGGCGUAUUAGUUAGUUGGUGAGGUAACGGCUCACCAAGACGAUGAUACGUAGCCGACCUGAGAGGGUGAUCGGCCACAUUGGGACUGAGACACGGCCCAAACUCCUACGGGAGGCAGCAGUAGGGAAUCUUCCGCAAUGGGACGAAAGUCUGACGGAGCAACGCCGCGUGAGUGAAGAAAGGUUUUCGGAUCGUAAAACUCUGUUGUCAGAGAAGAACAAGUUGGAGAGUAACUGCUCCAGCCUUGACGGUAUCUGACCAGAAAGCCACGGCUAACUACGUGCCAGCAGCGGC
rnacentral:rRNA from 1 species